UAAUACCCGAUAUUGCUCGGAACCGAUGGGUUCCGUUCCAAAGGCGGUCCUGCCGCCGCAAGAGGAUGGGGCUGCGUCCUAUUAGCUAGUUGGUAGGGUAAUGGCCUACCAAGGCUUUGAUGGGUAGCUGGUCUGAGAGGAUGGCCAGCCACAUUGGGACUGAGAUACGGCCCAGACUCCUACGGGAGGCAGCAGUGGGGAAACUUGGACAAUGGACGAAAGUCUGAUCCAGCGACACCGCGUGGGGGAUGAAUGCCUUCGGGUUGUAAACCCCUUUUCUGGGGAAAGAAUAAGGACGGGAGGAAAUGCCAGUCCGAUGACGGUACCCCAGGAAUAAGCAUCGGCAAACUUCGUGCCAGCAGCCGCGGUAAGACGAAGGAUGCGAGCGUUAUCCGGAAUUACUGGGCGUAAAGGGCGUCUAGGCGGUCUAGUAAGUCAUUUGUGAAAUCCCUCGGCUCAACCGAGGAGGGUCUUGUGAUACUGCUGGACUUGGGUGUAGGAGAGGAGAGUGGAACUCACAGAGUAGCGGUGGAAUGCGUAGAUACUGUGAGGUACCCCGAUGGCGAAGGCAACUCUCUGGCCUGCCACCGACGCUGAAGCGCGAAAGCGUGGGGAGCAAAGGGGAUUAGAUACCCCCGUAGUCCACGCCCCAAACGAUGUUCACUUGGUGUCGGCCGCAUAUACUGGUCGGUGCCGAAGCUAACGCGUUAAGUGAACCGCCUGAGGAGUACGGCCGCAAGGCUAAAACUCAAGAGAAUUGACGGGUCCCCGCACAAGCGGUGGAGCACGUGGUUUAAUUCGAUAAGCGAAGAACCUCACCCAGGCUUGACAUACUAGUGGUAGGAACCUGAAAGGGGGACGACCCUGCCUUCGGGUAGGGAGCUAGUACAGGUGAUGCAUGGCUGUCGUCAGCUCGUGUCGUGGGAUGUAGGGUUAAGUCCCGAAACGAGCGCAACCCUUGUCGUUAGUUGCCAGCGGGUAAUGCCGGGGACUCUAACGAGACUGCUGGUGAAUAGCCGGAGGAAGGCGGGGAUGACGUCAAGUCAUCAUGUCCCUUAUGCCUGGGCCGACACACAUGCUACAAUGGGAGGUACGAAGGGUCGCAAUACCGUAAGGUGGAGCCAAUCUCAAAAAACCUUCCUCAGUUCGGAUUGAGGUCUGCAACUCGACCUCAUGAAGCCGGAAUCGCUAGUAAUCGCAGGUCAGCCACACUGCGGUGAAUAUGUACUCGGGGAUUGUACAC
rnacentral:rRNA from 1 species